UGUACAGUCAGGAGUGGUAGAUGGCGUGG
rnacentral:piRNA from 1 species